UUUGCUUCUCUGCCUUUUGGCUAAGAUCAAGUGUAGUAUCUGUUCUUCAGUCCAGUUGAGCUACGCUCCCGGCUGUACUCCAAUUGUUGUGUUACGGCCAUGGUUGUCGAGCGGAACGGAGAACCACGAACCACACAGUAACCCUGGGUUGCGGAGCGUGGGUGUAGUAUUGGCGCUUAUGCGAUGUGACCU